GUCUGUUAAAUGCCUAUUGAAUGAAUUGGUCAUUUAAUUUGCCCACAUUAGUGAACUUUAAAGUUGACCAUUACUAUUAAUAGUCUUAAAAGGAGAUUAAUAUGAUUGCAGGGGGUUUAAACACGGUCAUUCAUCACGUUCAGGAGGGUUUUCAUGAAUAAAUAACGAUUGAAAUAUUACUUUAUUGUAUUGCUCUACGUUUCCCACUCACGUUUGCAGGUAUACACGUUCACUGUGACACAAUACACACGUUUUAAACUAAUGCUUCGGUAUAGGAGGGGAAUUAUGGAAGGGAAUGUUCUAAACCACUUGUAUGAGUCCUCGUAUGGAGCAUCUAAAUGAGGAAUAGCGUGGGGAGCGUGCUGGUAACCAAGGCAUUUGUGCGUAAGGGAGGGAGGGAGGGAGAGAGACUAGAGAGAUGAUAGGAGGAGGUGAGGAACAAGGAGAAAGACAUUCUGGCUUCCUCGUGGUCGUAGAAUAGGCGGGAAGGAUGGAAAAGAGAGAGAAAAAAGUCGAUAAAUCAUGUAGCGAGGCACACCACAGCUGACCAAACCCCGCCCUCUCUCCUCUCGCCUCUCCUCUCACUCUCUCCUCGCCGCCCGCCUCCUUCACCCGCCCUCCCCUCACCCCGCCACUACUUCUCCUCCAACUGUCAACACACUCCUGUCAGACUCCUAAGUGUCCACGCCUGCCUCUCCAUCACCUGAUUUCGGAAGAUGGGAGUUUGGUGACGGGUAUCCAGCGUGUGUUUGUGUCUGCUGAGAGGGCGGAGGGUGGAACAAACGGUAGGACGGUCUGGACUGGAGUGCCCGACUUCAUAAACUAUGGGUGUCUAGGUGCAGGUCACCCCAGCAACGAACAACGCCUGACCCUUUGUCACCUCUUGUCCACUCCUGCUUCCACCUGCUGAAUUCUGUGGUCUGCCAUCACCAGUAAAUAUAGGAACAGAGAAAAGGACUUAUGAUUUCCACGCCACCAGCUAAUCAACUCUAUCGCAAGAAAUGGUGGCAGCUGUGGGAUCGGGUUUCUAGCGGUGUAAGGUAGUUUGUUUGUUGGUGAAGUGGGAAAAUCAUUAGUUCUUUCUCUGGCAGUGGUUUUAUUCGGCUUCUUAUACUCUAUUUUUUUUUUUUUUUGGUGAAGUGGGAAAUAUCAGUUGUUUCUCUGACGUUGAUGAGAUUCGUCUUCUUGCACAGUAGUUUUGUUGGUGAAGUGGGAGAAUCAUUAGUUCCUUCUCUGGCAGUGGUGUUAUUCGGUUUCUUUUAUUUAAUUUUGCUGGUGAAGUGAAAAAAAAAAAAAAACUAAUAGUUCAUUCUCUGGCAUUAGUGGGAAUUACCUUCUUACAUUAUAAUUUUGAUGAUGAAGUGGGGAAAAUCAAUAGUUCUUUCUCUGGCAGUCGUGGUAUUCGGUUUCUUAUAUUUAAUUUUGUAGGUGAAGCAAAAAAGAAUCACUAAUUUCAUGUCAUUGCUAUCCACCUUCCAGUUAGUUUAAUGGAGUGGAAAAUCCUUUGCUUCAGUACCUCUUCUCUAUAUGCUAUGGUGACGGCAGCCCUCAGGUAGUAGCUGGAGAGGGCAGAGAUACGCUGAUGCUAGAUGGCGACUCCUGAAACUCUGUCUUGAUCCUGGGAUUUAAGAAUACCGGACUAAAUAA